CUGGAGGAUAACUUACAAGAUACAGCUAUCAGAAAACAUAUACCCUAUGCUAAUCUCUUGCUUUCAUCUUUCAAGUAAAUCCAUGUCUCUUAACAGCAGUGUCUAGUGAAGCAGGAUUUCAGUGGGAGGGGUAAAAGGGUGGGUCACUGAUGUGUAUCACGUUAACCAGAACCACCCAAAAGGACAAACACGCCCAAAAAGAAGGCGUGUCUGCAUGAAGAAUUA